CCCUUAGAUGUUCUGGGCUGCACGCGCGCUACACUGAUGCGUUCAACGAGUUUACGUCCUUGCCUGGCAAGGUUGGGUAAUCUUCUUAAAGCGCAUCGUGAUGGGGAUAGAUUAUUGCAAUUAUUAAUCUUCAACGAGGAAUUCCUAGUAAGCGCGAGUCAUCAGCUCGUGCUGAUUACGUCCCUGCCCUUUGUACACACCGCCCGUCGCUCCUACCGAUUGAGCAUUCCGGUGAAUAAUUCGGACUGCAGUCAUCUCUGGAUCCCAGAGAAGACCGCGGGAAGUUUAGUGAACCUUAAUGCUUAGAGGAAGGAGAAGUCGUAACA
rnacentral:rRNA from 1 species